AUAAGGUAAAGUGCAGUAGGUGGAAUCUCUAAGACAUUUUUUAAGAGAGGGCAGUUUCAGGUGGUAUACCCUUUUCUGCUCUUUUUCUGCCUCUUCUCUUCUUUUUCCCCUAACUCAUUUUGCCUGGAAUACUAAUUAGAGGGUAUUUUGCAACCAUAAGGGGCUUCCCUAGUGGCUCAAAUGGUAAAGAAUCUGCCUACAAUUCAGGAGACCCAGGUUCAAUCCCUGGGCAGGGAAGAUCCACUGGAGAAGGAAAUGGCAACCAAAUUCAGUAUUCUUGCCUGGAGAAUUCCAUGGACAAAGGAUACUGACAGGCUACAGUCCAUGGGGUUGCAAAGAGUCGGUUGUGACUGAGAGAGUAACACUUUCAUUUUCACUUGCAAUCAUAAAGAAACAANNNNNNNNNNNNNNNNNNNNNNNNNNNNNNNNNNNNNNNNNNNNNNNNNNNNNNNNNNNNNNNNNNNNNNNNNNNNNNNNNNNNNNNNNNNNNNNNNNNGACAGAGGAGCCUGGCAGGCUACAGUCCAUGGGAUCACAAAGAGUCGGAUGCGAGUGAGUGACUAACACUUCCACUUUCACACUUGCGCUAGUUGCUCUCAGGAUUGCGCCCCAAAUCCUUCAUGCAGCUUCUUCACAGGCUCCUCAUCAUCCACAGACUGGGUAUCACACUAGCCUCAAGGUUGAUCAUCCUCUUCCCCACACUCUUCCCAACUGCACUGAACACUUGGAACUCCCAGCCUAUGCAGUCAUUUCUCUCCAGGCUUCUGUUGCCUUGGCCCCAGCAUCCCUCCCCUCCCCAGCUUUCAUCUCACAUAGAACAAGCGUAGAUCUCACUUGCGCAGAAACUUUUUGGGGAGUUGAACACCCUUCAUCUGAGCUCGCACAGCCCUCUGUGCUCAGGCCAGCACAGGGCUCAAGGGUGUCUGUUUACUCUCAUUGCCUGCCCCUCCAGCUCAUCGAUAAGCUCUUGGAGGGAUGAGCCUGUUUCUUGGGCACUGCUCUGUCCCCAGCACCUACUGCAGUGCCUGGCACAUGUAAUGUGCUGCAAUCAAGACCGGAUAAAUGAACGGACACACUGGAAUCUAUUACCCACCUUCUCCCUCCUGCCCCCAUCUCCACCCCUUCCUCCACCUUUUGCUGUCAAUCACUCCACAAGCAUCGCCUGUUGGUGAUGAAAAGAGAAGGGGAUACAGAGGCGAACCUCCGUGUCUUCCUGGAGCCCAGGUGCCGUGAGAUCUAUGCUUGGGACAAUCUUAGGACACAUUUCUUUUGGGGGGAGUCUAUGAACCCUCUAGAAUGGCCAUCCUAGAGGGUGACUUUGUUUUAUGUCCAAAUCUGCUUUCUAGUAGCAUUGUGAGAGUGAGGAUCCUGAGUAGCCCUGGUUGUCUAAACAAUUCAAAGGAGGAAAGGAAACAGUCAUAUACCUGCUCUCGUUAUUCCUUACAGCAUCCUAGGAAAGGUCAGCAGUUUCCAGAUUGGAGCAAGAGGCAGGAAAUGUGGAGUUGACCCCCUCAUAGCAAAGAAAAAAGACAAUGACCANAAUGUGGAGUUGACCCCCUCAUAGCAAAGAGAAAAGACAAUGACCAGUGCUGCAGAGCCCUGGGGCAGGCUGACCACCCCCCCCCCAAGUGCUGUGUUCUCACCUGGAUGGUGUGGCCAGGGCACCCCCAUCCCUAAUGAAAGUACAAAAACUUCAUCUCUAUAGCUACCUGGAGAAGGAAAUUCAUCAUUGCCCUCAGCAGACAGCAAGAAAAGAAGAAAAAGAAUAAGAAUGUAGCAAAGAGACUUGAUAUUGAUUUGAAAAGCCUUGCUGACAAGAAAAUGAUUUGAGUCCAUUUCCAUUUUGUGGCCGAAGCCUCUGGUGCUCGCUCUGCUUCUGUCUGACCUCCCAGAGCAGAGUUCAUCAAGAAGCUCCCUGGCUGACACUCUAAUCCGGAUUUUCCAAUAGCCUCUCACCUGUUUGUCUAGAAUGGGGAAGGGCAGGUCUGUAAAGGGUGCAGUGUGGCUUCCUGGGUCUCAUCUGGAAAGCAGUCAAGCAGGCCAGUUUGGGGGAGCAGGCGGGGCAGUCAAGCAGGCCAGUCCUAUUUCAAGGCUGAUUUAGAAGAAUACAUUUUAAAAGUGCUGGCUGGCCUCACACAGACAUGACCAUGACUGUCAAUAUUCCUGUCCCGACAGGGGUUUUCAGCCAAGGCGUAAUGCAAUGCAUCCAGCCUAGCCAACAGCAACUCUUGCCUUGGGCAGAUCCUGCCACGUCUGCUUCCCACAGGUUCUUCCCACCAGGAACCUAGCAUCUGCUGUGCGUGCCUUCUCUUUGCAACGCCAGAAUCCCAAGCAAGGGCAGCAGGCCUGUGUGUUUAAUUCACUUGUAAGUGAACAGCUUCUGUGUGUUAGAAAAAAAAAAAGCAUAACUCAACUUAUGAAUGUGUAAUUGCUUGAGAUUUCACCUCCUGGCCACACUCGCCUUCCUAUGGAGUUAUUAAAACCCACACAAUAUGGUCUAAUCAUUUAUUAAUAGUCAACAUAAACAGAUAACAGCUCACAUAGCCAUAUAGCCAUUGCAUGUUAAAUAAUGAGUGAUUAUUUAAAAGGCUCUUUCACUGGAGAGGAGGAAGCCUGGUGGCUAUGGUUUGGAAUUACUGCUGUAAUGGCAGAUAAACUCAUGGACUCAAGACCUUCUUGAUUGUUCACCUGGCUACCCUCAAGUCACUGUUUCCCUGCCUUCAUUUGGAAGGGGCAGGGUACCACCCAUUGCCCAGCAGAAAAGGACAUCCAAAUUAAUGGGAAGGGAAUAAAUCAUUUCCUCAGGGAACAAAGUAAAAAAUACUGGAGUGUGUUGUUCAACUUCUCUGAAAGAAGCUCAACAAUAAUGCAUCUUCUGACUUGCUUUCAAAGUCUCCAUCGCCAGGAGGUGGGAGGGAGGUUUAAGAGGGAAGGGAUAUAUGUAUGUAUGUGUGUGUGUAUAUAUAUAUAUAUAUAUAUAUAUAU
rnacentral:lncRNA from 1 species